rnacentral:rRNA from 1 species
CCUACGGGUGGCAGCAGUAGGGAAUAUUGCUCAAUGGGGGAAACCCUGAAGCAGCAACGCAGCGUGGAGGAUGAAGGUUUUCGGAGUGGAAAAUCCUGUUGAUAGAGAAGAGAAUGACGGUAUCUAACGAAUAAGCACCGGCUAACACCGUGCCAGAAGCCGCGGUAAUACGGAGGGUGCAAGCGUUACUCGGAAUCACUGGGCGUAAAGAGCGCGGAGGCGGGCUAGCAAGUCAGAUGUGAAAUCCUAUGGCUUAACCCUAGAACUGCAUUUGAAACUGUGAUUCUUGAGUAUGGGAGAGGUAGGUGGAAUUCUUGGUGUAGUGGUCAAAUCCGUAGAGAUCACGAGGAAUACUCAUUGCGAAGGCGACCUGCUAGAGCAUAACUGACGCUGAUGCUCGAAAGCGUGGGUAGCAAACAGGAUUAGAUACCCCGGUAGUC